UACGAAGGGGGCUAGCGUUGCUCGGAAUUACUGGGCGUAAAGCGCACGUAGGCGGAUUGUUAAGUCGGGGGUGAAAUCCUGGAGCUCAACUCCAGAACUGCCUUCGAUACUGGCGAUCUCGAGUCCGGGAGAGGUGAGUGGAACUGCGAGUGUAGAGGUGAAAUUCGUAGAUAUUCGCAAGAACACCAGUGGCGAAGGCGGCUCACUGGCCCGGUACUGACGCUGAGGUGCGAAAGCGUGGGGAGCGAACAGG
rnacentral:rRNA from 1 species